rnacentral:lncRNA from 1 species
ACUAAAAACAUGAUUAUUAUAUAGUUUGGCCAAUUGACCUACAUAUAAAAACCUAAUAUAAAAGAAAACAUAAAAUUAUUAGAGAGAAAAUCUCCCCCUAACCAAAGACACUUUAAAAACUACAUUAUGGAUGUUAUUGUGUUAUGGUAUGAGAAGGGAGUCUUUUAUUUAUAGAUGUUUAAAACCUUUCCUCCAAGAAAGAGGUUAGCCAAAUAUGGAAAAGAAUUAUAUUUUUUCUUUCAGGAAAAGUAAAAGUAAUUAUGAUAACUUUUAUUUUCCUUCUAAAAAAAAAGUAAAACUUAAAUAUAGUAAGAAAAUCAGGGCAAAAACCCUAACAAAUCUCCCCUUUUUGGCUUGAUUUUCUUCAAAAUAUUCUUGAUCCUCCUUCUUCUUGUGCAUGAUCUUCGUUCUUCAUAUAUAUCUGGUGCAUGAUAUGCGUUCUUCAUAUAUAUUCUUCGCAUAUCACUGUUGUUUGGCAUGUUUAAAAAUGGAGUUUUUGGGGUUAAAAAAUAUAUUAGCCCUUUUCGGGUUAAAAAUAUUGGAGCCCUUUUGCAAGGUUAAAAGUGAGCUUUAUUUUUAAAUAUGUGACAGCAGGAUUGUUGAAAAUAUGAUUGACAAUGAUCUCCACAUGUUGCUUUUGGACAUAUAUCUUCAUUAUCAUCAAAUUGGUUGCAGCUUAAUUUUGAAACCGCUUUGAAUUUGUUUAAUCUCGUCUCACCACAUCAUUGGACCAUUGAACAGUAAGCUUUGAUACCACUUGUUGGAUUCGAAAUUGAGAGGGCGUCAUGCGGAAGCUAUUAGUUGCAAACUAUUGAGACGAUAAAUCAGACGAAAAGAAAAACAUACUAAAAACAUGAUUAUUAUAUAGUUUGCUCAAUUGGCCUACAUAUAAAAACCUAAUAUAAAAGAAAACAUAAAAUUAUUAGAGAGAAAAUCCUCCCCCUAAACAAAGACACUUUAAAAACUACA